AUUGCAGAGAGGCAGAGACCAUGAUGCUCAUCCAAUAGGAGACUGCGGCACCUAUCCGGUAGGCGAUGAUGAUCGAUGCUGAGGCUAGGGCUCUGGCCUUUAGGUGGCAGCGACGAACGGCAGAAAGGAAAUGAAGACCGAAAGACAUUGAAGAUGAAGAGUUGAAAUUGAUCUUGGGAAUUAGAAUGCACUUGGCGUUGGUGUUUUUUUAUCUGCAAACGAUUAACCCGUCACUCAGCCG
rnacentral:lncRNA from 1 species